CUGGUCAUAUAUACUGAUACUAAUACGUACCAUGAAGACUAUUUAAGAUCUGCAGGGGGAGAUUGGGGCAGCUCCUCCUGGUCACGUGGCUUAAUAUACUUAAUCCCUGCAUUUCAGUUGCACAUACCUUAACCAUUAGCGCUGACCUGGAGACGCUGUGCUCUCACUCCUGCUGAUGGCUAGCCACCAGCCCCAUGACCCAGCCCACUUCGUUCUCCCGAAACCACUUAAAGGUCUGACCCAUGGUUUACACCAAACUGAACCGUGUACUGGCUCUGAACCAGCAUCACCACUCUCAGAGACAACCCGGGCAUGGGCCUCUGCCAAGACAGUGGAAUUUGGGCAGCUAUAUUACCUGGUUCUGGAAGAAACAUGUGAAGCGGGGGACGUCAAUGGCUCGUUUCAAAGUCUAUAUCCAUUGCAGAGACAAAACUGCUGCUGAAGCAUCUCCUAAUCCCGGUAACUAUAUAUUCUGAUCUUGACUUUGAUGUCAUUUGUUUCAGUAAAUGAAAUAUUGCCGCAAUUUAGUCUGAGUAUCUCUCUCUGUCUGUGUGUGUAUGUGUGUGUGAUUUAAAAGCUGUUUAGCUAUCUGAUCUGGAAUUACUGGCUAUCAUCAUGGAACUGGAACAAGGAAUGUUUCUGUUUGUGAGCGAGCUAGUAGAGAAGAAUACUAGUAUCAAAUGAACUGUGACCUAAUCUUUUUGUGUUAGUCUCAUUGUUAGCUAUAACAGGUUACACUUUAAAGUGGUAAAGGUAAGUGGUUAUUUCUAAAAUGCUUAGUAGUUGGGCUUAGAAAUCUUUGUAAAAUGAGUCACUCAUUUUCAUCUGUUUUGCAUGGCAUUUAUUAGCCAUUUCAGUCUUUGGAAUUGUAAUCUGUGCAUCACUUCGCUUCAGGUAAUUUGUUGCUUGAUUACUUGCUCUAUCACAGUGUUCUGUAGCUUAUUAAAUGUAGAUUUGUAUGCAGACAAUAUUCAAUUCUUCUAACACUGAUCUAACUAUGUCAAAGUGCAAUAGUUGUUUUACAGGCUUUUAAUAUAAAGCUUUAUUGUUAUCAGUAAAGUCAACAAUUAGAUUUUUUGUGAUUCUAAUUUCUAUGCAUUAUGUUGCAGUUCCUACUGUGCCAGCCUACCUCUCCCAGCCAGGAGGUGGACCAGUUCUGCCAGAUGCUGGCACUUCGGUAAACACUUUUUUUGUGAGGUGGUAGUAGGUGUAUUCAUUAUCCACUCUUCUGCAUCCGGUAGGUAAUUCUCCCGGAGGGAUGGAAGCUGACCCUCCCAAAAGAGCAGCAUGAGUAUGGCCCGCCGAGCCAUUUUCACAAAGGACAAGCAACUCAAGUGUGUCCUGAAAAGGCAGCUUGAGUUGUUGUACUUUCCUCCUCUGCCUCCCAACAUCAGUCAUCAGCCUCCAGCAUCUCCCAACGCCUACUUCCUCCAUCCCUUUUUUCUCUGGAAGCCCUAUCGCCUGUGGGUUUUUAAGUUUGUGUUCACCCAACCACAGUGCAUGAGCCACAAGCUAACAGGCUGCGGGGUGUAUAGGACUGUCCGGAAGGUAUUGUAUGGAUGGUAUUUCAUGGGGACGGAAUACCUGGAGUGCAGACUUUGCAAAAAGAUGUCGGCAAGUUGGUCUUUGGAUGUCCUCAACCAGUUGGACCCAAGUCAUCGGGCCAAGUUCCCAGCCAUCUUGACUUAUCAGUAAGUAGUUGACACCUCCGACAAUCAAAGAGGUGUGACCCCUUGACUUUGUUGUUCCGAUGGGGGGGGGGGAUUCUGACUGGGGCAGUCUGAGGUGGUGAUGUUUCACAGCCUCAUUGAAAUGCUAAUUAGGCUUUCUUAUCAGCUGCAGGAACUCUGCAGUUGAAAGUUUUUCAAAGUCACCCGGUUCCCACAGACCCCCUACCAACUAUGAUCACACCCCCCGACCAGUUCUCAACCGGUUUCUAUGUCUAUCAGGCUGUCCUGUAAUCUGAAGGUAGUCAAGCUGAUGAGGGAGAGGACACUAGGAAACAGUGUGACCAGGCUGUUCAACCAGCUGAGGGAGCUGCACAGCGGGACCUGGGGGGGGGGGGGUUCUUUCCUCCUGCGCUUUGCGCAAGGGUCCACUUCCUUUGGAGAGUUUCCACCUCCACUUGAACCGCUUCAUUCCUGGUGCAUUCAAUGCGCUGAUACGUUUCUCACAUUGUUUUACUGCCUGUGUGCAUGUGAGGAGUCCUCAUUUCUUGUUGUUUUCAGUGCCAAGCACUUUCAGGCUUACCUCCUUGAAGGGCUCAUAAGGUGGAACGAGGACCGUGCAGAGGCUGCAGCAGGGGGAGUGAAGCAGUCCUUUGCACUGCUAUGACGGCGUAGCACAACACGCCAUCAAUGAGCUGAGCCAGAAGCUCCUUGGUCGUAGUCUCAUAACAGAUUACACAAAACCCUCCAAGUACACUGGCAUGGACACUAUGGAAUUUUGCCUUUCUAGACAAAUGUAGACACUUAAACACACAGCAUGAAUAUCAACAUGCUCACAACUGUUUGUGUGUGACACUCUGUCUUUGUUUGUCUGAAGGGGAACUUAUUGCGGUGGAGUAUUUGUACUCCCAGACUGGCGGGCAGAGGAGGACACUCCAGAUGGGAUGUCAGAUGACACAGAGAAAGGAGAGGGAGAGGACAUCUCGUGGAGUUGGAAGAGUUUGAUGACGACCACCAUUUCCUUAUGUUCUCUGGAUGAGAGUCUACCACCUCUUCCUCUUCUCUGGAAGGCUGCUCCACCGCCCCUGCUAUCUGUCAGGACCUGGAGGAGGACGAGUACAUUGGACCUGAUGGGGGUGUCGGCUAUCAGCAUGUCAUUCUCCUGGCCAAAAGUCUGGUGAGAAUCUUGGAGGGGCCGUGGAUCUCGACUCGGCAUGCCCAAGAGAUAAUUGCCCUCUGGGAGUCUUUUGGAGGCGGACAAGAAGACAGUCUCCUACCCCGAGAGGUUCCGGGCCUAGUCCUGCAGGGGCGAUCUAAAAACUCCAAGACAACAACAGUUAAAGGCUCCCUACUUGGACAAGGACAUGGACCUGCCCUGUGGCCCAAAACUAGUAAGACAGUAGAGGCAAUCUUUUUAGAGCUUUGCCGAAAACACCCUGCUGGCCAGACUGUCCUUGGUGUGAGGGUCAACAGGUGAGCUGCCAUCCUGAGCGACUACAGGAGCAUCAGGACCAUGGUGCUCGGGUCCAGCUGUUUGAGGUCAAUAGGUUGACCUUGACACAAUGGUACGACACUCGGGUUACCUCGAUGGAGAGGGUGACCCUUCACCUGGGCCUGGACAGAAUGACUGCAGACGGAGGAGGAAGACCCCUUCCAUUCUUCGGUCAGGACCGCGGCACCGCUAACUGCACCAUCGACCAGCAGCACAUAUCAACUGUCUGAAGACCAAACAGGGCUGGCUACACGGCAUGGCAGAAUAGAGAUAGAAAAGUCAGCCACCGCAUCCUCCACUGUCCCUGCCUCAGCCUACCACCGCCCUUCCCGUUGCUCCAGACCUGCCCUCAACCAGCAGUGCUCUGCCGCCCCCCAAUGCAAGACCCAAAGUCUCCAGGACCACAGAAUGGAGGGCCAGAAAAAGACUAGAGUCGGGUCAAACAGUGCGUGCACACAAGCCCUACAAAUUCUACAUCUGUAAGAAGUGUGGUCAGCCCAAAACAAAAUAAUUUGGAGACAGUGUGUUCUGGGGACAGUUUUUGUGCCACUACAUCUGGCGGCCAAACUGAGUACCAGUAAACCCUCCUGCCUGACUGUCUGCUGACGGUUGUACAGCAAAUACACCUCCGGGAUGUCUAACGCUAUCUCUAUUUUUUUGUCCUGUAAAUAACAAAAGGAUCAGGGUUCUAAAGGUGACAGCAGGGUGUCUAGGGUGUGAACUACAUGGUCAACCACUCACAACUCUAUUUCUUGUCCAACAAAAGGACCAGCAGAUGAGGGUUCCAGGAAAAAAGAUCCUUCCAGGAAAUUCAGCCGUCCGUGGUAGCCACCUGUUAUUGACAGUCACUGGUUUUUUACUACAUAUAUUUUCAUUUUUCUGUAUUUUACCUGCAGACAAUUUCAUUUCAGAGUAAAAGUUUUAAAAGGAUCUUAGAACUGUCGUUUUUGUUUUCCCUUUGUAGACAAGAAGCUGACACACACCACCUCCAGAACCAGCAAGGGGGCUGUGAAGAGACGGGCCCCAACAAGCAACCCCCCAACUAAGAGAGUCGUCAGUGCUGCCAGACUUGCCAAGGACCUCCUCCCUAACAGGUACACUAAUUUAAGGAGUAGGGAAGAGCAGGCUGAUGACGGACCUGCUAGGAAGACGAAGCAACCAGUGGCUUUCCCUUGCAAAAUCUGUGGAAAACCAAAAAGAAAAUAAUUUGUCCAAAGUCAGUACAAGGAGGAGUACUACUGUGAGGCAGCAGGUGGUGAAAAAACGGCUAAACAGUGACUGGAGAAGACCAGGGCCAAGGGUGUGCUGCCAGGUGCUGUGAAUCUUCGAUGUAAACUCACCUUAAAACAAACGUCCCCCUUUCCGAAAUCAUCCUCUGAACGCCCCCUGAAGGGGGGUACCGCCCCCGUUGAGAAACACUGGUCUGGAUAGUGUUCGAAUUUCGGGAAAAGUAUUGCCGUCUAUUCUGUGUGAUGAAUUGUGUUUAUAUAAAUGUGUUACUGUUAAAAUGCAGGUAAGGCAAUAAAAACACAUAACUGACAAAUGGUUUCAUCAUUCAGUUUGACAUUGUGAUCGACCAGAUAAUAAAUGAUCAGUAGCCGCGGCGAUUGACCAAACGCCCCUGUAGAGGACAGAUUUCUCUAAGAAAAUAUUUCACCAUGUAAUAAUUGCAUUAUGAACACCAAUAGGCUUCUGUAUGAAUUGUUUUGCUAAUUGAUUAGAAGCCUGCUUAACUGCUAUGCUAAAUCCAAUGUAAUAAAUGGACUGUUAGACUAGGCUCAAAUGUAUAUUUUGACUGUUCACAGAUGCCAAGGAUAGGCAAAGACCUAGUGCUAUGGUUGCCAUGAGAGUGUAGCUUAAUCUUA
ensembl:lncRNA